UCUCCCUUCUCUCUUCCCCCUCCAGCCUCCACUCCUUCGCCCGCUCACUCACCCUCUCCCUCUCCCGCUGCCCCCCCUUUCUCCCCCACCUCUUUGUUUCAGCUGAGAACCAGCUCCUCGGGACAGUUCCCACACUGCAGUGCCUCUGGUGAGGAGACAGCGCCACUGAGGCCUCCUCUGAACUCCCAAAAUGUGGCCUAUGCCAUCACCGAGGCCGCAGGAACAAGAGGUGGGUGUCCAUGACAUUGGUACCUGUCAUCCCUGUGUGCAGCAGGUGUGCCCCACCCUGGAGGCGGCAGAAGAAGAUGGACAAGAGCCUAGAAGAUCCCAGCCUUGCCACUGGCUAUGAGCACAGGACAGGGGGAGGCUCAAUGCUAAGGCUGCCAAAGAAAAUACAGGACGUCCAGUUAAAUUUGAAUUUCAAAUAAACAAGUAAUUUUUAAAGUA
rnacentral:antisense_RNA from 1 species